UAUAGGUUUUACUACCUGAUGGCGCCAUUUUGUUAUUCGGUUACGAUUACACUACUGACAUAAUAGGCCUCUGCGUAGGCAAACGCAGGCUUAUAACUGAGCACGAUAAGUUUAUAUUUUACGAAACGCACGCAACGAAAUAGAAGACAGUUUAUUAUUAUGCACAUGAUCUGAUAUACACGCCUCUGCGCAGGUGAAUAUCUGCAUAUAUUUCCAUGUACCGAUAUACACGCCUCUGCGUAGGCGAC